GAAUUCUUCUCCCAAAUAUCCAGUUUAUUCAUGAGUUUAUCAGGGAGUUCUGGAAGCUGGAAAUGCAAGCUAAGGAUGCCUGAAUGAUCACGUCCUGGUGAAGACCCUCUCCUGGCUGCAGAUUGCUGACCUGUCAUUGUAUCCUCACAUGGCCAUUCUCUGCUCCUCACCACCUGGAGUUUAGGUUUGGCCCAGUCAUGCCUUGCCUCAAUUCGGCUUUGGUGGUCUCUUUAACAUCAGGCUACAACAGAGGAGACCUGCUCAUAGACAUCAUUGCAAGUUCUCCACCCUUAGGGACCAGAUUAAGUCAAUUAAGACUUACAAAGAUAAAGUGACUGACCUCUGACCAUGUAGGCUGCGGUAUCUGAAGAGAGGUACGACUUAGUUGCAACCAAGUUGUACUGAACAGAUGUGGCAUUGCUGCUACUAUAAACCUAGCCCUAGGGGCAAAUGUCUGCUUUUUUUUUCCAAAAGAAGAAUCCUUGAACUGGUAUAGAAUUCUGCGAACCAGACUGAGUCCUCUAAGUGAAGAUUGCAGCAUGCUGUCUCCAGGCAAUGUAAUGCUGAAAACAAGACUUUAAUGAUAGAAGAAAGAGGAACAAAGACGGAGCUUCUCUUGUCAGUGUCAGUAGGUAAAUAGCGCUAAUCUGUCUUCAUUAUUGCUAUGCACGCUGUACUACCAGGUGGGAGAAUGUGUAAUAUCUUUUACCGUUAUCCAAGAGCUAAGUAGCAUAAAGAAACUUAAAGGCAGAAUUAUCUUUGAUCAACAAAAAUGUGGCAAUCAUUUCCGUCUGAAAUUGCCUUCAGAGAAUUUUGACAUCUUUAUGUGAAGAUGCAAAGACCUCACACUUUCCCAUAUUGUCAUUAUUUCUCAAGAUUGUAAAGUUCGUUAGAUUUGAAUACUUAGUACAACCCGCUUGUCAGGGAGAGGGGGAAAAAUCUCCAAAACAAUAAAACACCUUUAUCAGAAUUUUUUUGUAAUCCCCCUAAA